rnacentral:rRNA from 1 species
AUUGAACGCUGGCGGCAGGCCUAACACAUGCAAGUCGAACGAGUGGCGGACGGGUGAGUAAUGUCUGGGAAACUGCCUGAUGGCGGGGGAUAACUACUGGAAACGGUAGAUAAUACCUCAUACCAUCAGAUGUGCCCAGAUGGGUUUAGCUUGUAUGUGGGGUAACGGCGCACCAAGGCGACGAUCCCUAGCUGGUCUGAGAGGAUGACCAGCCACACUGGAACUGAGACACGGUCCAGCCUCCUACGGGAGGCAGCAGUGGGGAAUAUUGCACAAUGGGGGCAAGCCUGAUGCAGCAAUGCCGCGUGUAUGAAGAAGGCCGUCGGGUUGUAAAGUACUUUCAGCGGGGAGGCGUUACCCGCAGAAGAAGCACCGGCUAACUCCGUGCCAGCAGCCGCGGUAAUUC